rnacentral:misc_RNA from 1 species
ACAUAAGCCUCUCUUUUUGUCUUCUACAGCUUUGUUUGACUUUGGGAAGAAAGGCUGUAUCAAUUUCAUAAUAUUUUAAGGGAGCACUAAAAAAUGGACAGCUAUUUGAAAAUUGCCACAUUUUUAACGCCUAGCAUGAGCUUGGAGUUAUACCAAGUAGACCUCAUUAAAAGAGAUUAGAAAAAAAUAACAAAUUAAUUAUUGCUUGUUUAUUUCAGGUAUAUCAAAAAUUUAUCGAGGAAAAGUUAUCGAAAGGCUCCAUUUUGAUUGUAGAGAGUAGAUCAUUAUGUGAACAGACUUCCACGUCAGAUGCUGAAUCCAUAUCAGCUAGCGUUUUUGAUAUCGGUAAGUGUUUGUUUGCAGCAAACAGAAAUUAUUCUUAAACGAUACCUUCUAAAUCGAAAUAGGCUUUAUGAGCACAAAAUCCUAUUUAAAAUUAAAGGAGAAAGGUGCAAAUGUGGAACUAUUACCUGUUGGAGCCGUUCACGAACACCGAUUGAAUUCUGAUGAACUUCCAAUCUACUAUUCGGAUUUGAUUAUUCAUAAAAGUACAGCAAAAAAGUAUAAACAACUCGAAGACUUAAAGGGCUGUAAAUAUGCUUAUAAUACUCAAGAUUCGGUAAGCGGUUACAUCCUUCCUCUUCUCGAGUUGAAAAAGAAGGGAUAUAAUUCAUCAUUCUUCAGCAAUAUGCUUGAGAGUGGUUCUCACUUGAAUUCUAUUAAAAUGGUUCGUGAACAAAGAGUGGAAUGUGCUUCGGUCGAUUCGAAUGCGCUUAAGUUUUAUCUAAAGUCUUACCCUCAUGCUCAUGACGACUUUAUUGCGAUUAGUUCAUUGGGGCCAUUACCAGUUCAACCAAUUGUUGUUAGAUCAAGCUUGCCAACCGAAAUUAAAGAGGAGCUGGCCGAUGCUCUCCUAUCAUUGCCUACUUUGCCGAAUUAUUCUAAAUUGUUUGCCGAAUAUGGUAUAAGAAAGUUUACUAAAGUAGACGAUGAAGACUACCAAGCGGAAAUGGAUAUUUAUAAGUCAAUUGGUCAACAAUCGAAGACGCCCGCUUAUUACUAAUAUUAUUCUUUAUCCAAUUUUUCUUUUGCUCAAUAUCUUUUAGAAUAUAAUAGAGACAAUAAAAUAUAAGUGGUAAAGAGCAACUAUAAUAGACUUUCGAAGGCUUUUAGUUCAUUUUUUGUUAUUUCUUCCUUAGAGAAUAACGAAUAGUAUGAUAUAUAUAUGAUAGUAAAUAUUAGUUAUUGAACAACUAUUAAUUAAUUGAUUGAAUAAAGGAAUAAAUUAUCCAAA